CAUUACUGAGUUUACGCUCUAUAACCCUUUGUGAACAUACCUAUAACUGUUGCUUCGGCGGGUAGGGUCUCCGCGACCCUCCCGGCCUCCCGCCUCCGGGCGGGUCGGCGCCCGCCGGAGGAUAACCAAACUCUGAUUUAACGACGUUUCUUCUGAGUGGUACAAGCAAAUAAUCAAAACUUUUAACAACGGAUCUCUUGGUUCUGGCAUCGAUGAAGAACGCAGCGAAAUGCGAUAAGUAAUGUGAAUUGCAGAAUUCAGUGAAUCAUCGAAUCUUUGAACGCACAUUGCGCCCGCCAGCAUUCUGGCGGGCAUGCCUGUUCGAGCGUCAUUUCAACCCUCAAGCUCUGCUUGGUGUUGGGGCCCUACAGCUGAUGUAGGCCCUCAAAGGUAGUGGCGACCCUCCCGGAGCCUCCUUUGCGUAUAACUUUACGUCUCGCACUGGGAUCCGGAGGGACUCUUGCCGUAAAACCCCCCAAUUUUCCAAAGGUUGACCUCGG
rnacentral:rRNA from 1 species